CCUACGGGGCGCAGCAGUGAGGAAUAUUGGUCAAUGGACGAGAGUCUGAACCAGCCAAGUAGCGUGAAGGAUGACUGCCCUAUGGGUUGUAAACUUCUUUUAUAUGGGAAUAAAAUGUUCCACGUGUGGGAUUUUGUAUGUACCAUAUGAAUAAGGAUCGGCUAACUCAGUCCCAGCAGCCGCGGUAAUACGGAGGAUCCGAGGGUUAUCCGGAUUUAUUGGGUUUAAAGGGAGCGUAGGUGGAUUGUUAAGUCAGUUGUGAAAGUUUGCGGCUCAACCGUAAAAUUGCAGUUGAAACUGGCAGUCGUGAGUACAGUAGAGGUGGGCGGAAUGCGUGGUGUAGCGGUGAAAUGCUUAGAUAUCACGAAGAACUCCGAUUGCGAAGGCAGCUCACUGGACUGCAACUGACACUGAGGCUCGAAAGUGUGGGUAUCAAACAGGAUUAGAUACCCCAGUAGUC
rnacentral:rRNA from 1 species